UACGGAGGGUGCGAGCGUUGUCCGGAAUCAUUGGGCGUAAAGGGCGCGUAGGUGGCGCGGCCAGCGUGCGGUGAAAGCUCGGGGCUCAACCCCGAGUCGGCCGUGCGAACUGCCGCGCUCGAGCACUGUAGAGGCAGGCGGAAUUCCGGGUGUAGCGGUGGAAUGCGUAGAGAUCCGGAAGAACACCGGUGGCGAAGGCGGCCUGCUGGGCAGUGGCUGACACUGAGGCGCGACAGCGUGGGGAGCAAACAGG
rnacentral:rRNA from 1 species